GCAGCGCAUCCUACGGGAGGCAGCAGUGGGGAAUAUUGCACAAUGGGCGCAAGCCUGAUGCAGCCAUGCCGCGUGUAUGAAGAAGGCCUUCGGGUUGUAAAGUACUUUCAGCAGUGAGGAAGGUGGAUAUGUUAAUAGCAUAUUCAUUUGACGUUAGCUGCAGAAGAAGCACCGGCUAACUCCGUGCCAGCAGCCGCGGUAAUACGGAGGGUGCGAGCGUUAAUCGGAAUUACUGGGCGUAAAGCGCAUGCAGGUGGUUUGUUAAGUCAGAUGUGAAAGCCCGGGGCUCAACCUCGGAAUUGCAUUUGAAACUGGCAAACUAGAGUACUGUAGAGGGGGUAGAAUUUCAGGUGUAGCGGUGAAAUGCGUAGAGAUCUGAAGGAAUACCGGUGGCGAAGGCGGCCCCCUGGACAGAUACUGACACUCAGAUGCGAAAGCGUGGGGAGCAAACAGGAUUAGAUACCCUGGUAG
rnacentral:rRNA from 1 species